GGCAAGAUGGCCGAGCGGUUAAGGCGCCAGACUCAAGUUUAUCUGUGAACUUCUUCCUUACUGGGUCGAUCAUUCUGGUCUCGAAAGAGGCGUGGGUUCAAGUCCCACUCUUGUCA